UAUCCAUGAUGCAUAGAGGGUGUGUUUACAGUCUGGGUGAAGCUGCAGUGUCGGUAGCACAGAGAAAGGAUUAGACAUUUUUAUUUAUUUUUAUUUCACCUUUAUUUAACCAGGUAGGCCAGUUGAGAACAAGUUCUCAUUUACAACUGCGACCAGGCCAAGAUAAAGCAAAGCAGUGCGACAAAAACAACAACAGAGUUACACGUGAUAAACAAACGUCCAGUCAAUAACGCAUUAGAAAAAUCUAUAUACAGUGUGUGCAAAUGAAGUAAGGAGGUAAAGGCAAUAAAUAGGCCAAUAGUGGCGAAGUAAUUACAAUUUAGCAAUUUACACUGGAUAGAUAUAUGUGCAUAUGAAGAUGUGCAAGUAGAAAUACUGGUGUGCAAAAGAGCAGAAAAGGUGGGCUGUGUACAGCUGCAGAGAUCGGUAAGCUGCUCUGACAGCUGACGCUUAAAGUUAGUGAGGGAGAUAUAAGUCUUCAACUUCAGUGAUUUUUGCAAUUCGUUCCAGUCAUUGGCAGCAGAGAACUGGAAGGAAAGGCGGUCAAAGCAGGUGUUGGCUUUGGGGAUGACCAGUGAAAAAUACCUGCGGAGGAGCGUGCUACGGGACCAUUCACACAGUCCAGUCAGUCACACAGUCCAGAAGCUCGGGCCUACCCUACUUCCUCCUACAACACCCUGAUGAGAAGCAAAAAACCUGGCCCCAGGACUCGCCCCACAGGCGAGGGUCCACCAGAAACUCAGUGGGUGGUCGGUCUGGGGGAAGCCCUGGCAGUGAUGAAGGAUCUCCUACCUUGACAUUUUUCAAAAAAAUGAACCCAGUGUGUCGAGGCACCGAUCUGUGGGGACAGGUCUCUGAAUGUCCUUGAGUGGCCCAGCCAGAGCCCGGACUUAAAUCCGAUCUAACAUCUCUGGAGAGACCUGAAAUCACUGUGCAGCGACGCUCCCCAUCCAACCUGACAGAGCUUUUGGAGCUGUAAUUGCUGCCAAAGAUGCUUCAACAAAGUACUGAGUAAAGGGUCUGAAUACUUAUGUAAAUGUAAUAUUUCAGUUUUCUUUCAAUUUAUAAAUUAUAAUAAAAAUCUAAAAAUCA
ensembl:lncRNA